rnacentral:lncRNA from 1 species
CUGCCUGCCUCAGCCUCCCAAAGUGCUGGGAUUACAGGUGUGAGCCACCGCGCCUGGCUGGAAUAAACAAUUUUUUGACAUAGUCACACAAUGGAACACUACCCAGCAAUUAUUAAUAAAAGGAUGAAAUACUUUUAAGUGCAUUAUAUGAAUGAAUCUCAAAAAUAUUAUUCUAAGUGAAAAAAGCCAGACACAAAAGAGUAUAUGUCGAAUAUUUCAUUUACACAAAAUUCCAGAAAAGUCAAAUUAAUCUAUAGUGGUAGAAAUAAGAUCAGUAGUUGCCAAAGACAAAGGGAGGGUGGAAUUGACUAUUAAAAGGAAUGAGGGCACAUUUUUGAGGGAUACAUUAUAUUUCUUCAUUACUACAAUGGCUAUCUGAGGUAUACAUAUGUCAAACCUCAUCAAACUGUACACUUAUGGAUGCAUAUUAUUAUAUAUAAAUUACAUAUCAGUAAAAUUGAUUAGUAAAGAUACAGUUAAGAUAGACAUUUAGGGAUAUUUCAGAACUGAAUAUGUUUGAGUGAAGUAGCAGAAAUUGAUACUUCUGGAUAUCUGAGCUCAACAAAUAUAACACCUGUGCAAUAUAUUUGAAUUUGUUUAGCAGCUUAGUAAAAAAUCAAAGCACAUUAGAUUGCUAUCUAAUAAAGCAAAUACAUUCAGAAACUAAAUUAUGCUAAAAUUUAUUAUUUGAGUCCUUAGACAAAGAAGAUUUAAUAACAUAAACACCAAAACUAUCAACAUCAGUUUUGCAACCAAUAUAAAAUAUGGACCAGUUUUUAGAUGAUGCUGAAUUAUAGGAUAUGAGAUUUUGGAAUUUAUUUGCUGGCAUGAGGUUCUAUGAAGUAAUUUUUGGGGAGCAGGAAAUAUUAUAUAAUAUUACAAGGUGAAAAUACGUUGCAUGAUUUGCAAUAGAAGUGGUACCCAUUGUUGAUAAGGAAAGUAACAAAUCUUGUGUAAGGUGGAUGAAGGAAGAAAGAACAGUGUAGAUUCCUAUGUAAUGUCACUCGUGAUAGGUAUUAAAUGCUGGAACCAGAACACAGGUGGUGGAAAUGAAGUAGCCUGGAUAUAUCCCGAACCUAAUGUCGAGAUAAAAUCUUUAAUGGCAAAAACAGCAAUUACUUUUGCACCAACCUAACGGAAUGAAAUUUCUUGUUGGCUGUUAAUACAGCAUGGAUGAGUCUCUCAAUUGGAAGGCAACAAGCUAAGUAAGCUAAGUUUCCAGGUUCCUUUUCUUGUAAGAUUCUCUAAUUCUGUGCAGGCAGCCAACAUGGGAAUAAGCAAUUACCUUUGGACCUUUCACACUGAGCAUAGAGAUUUUUGCCCAACCUUUGAAGUUUAGCUUAGCAAAGUUGUAACAAUCAUGUGAAAGAUGUUUGGUGGGUAUUUGAAUAGUUGCUGGGAUCUCAGACACAAGUGUGUCAUUAAGGAAUUCACAGCUUAAUAGGGACAACAGACUCUAAAAGAUUUGAAUAUGUUGUCACAUGUACUAAACCUGAGGGCUCUGAGAGUACAGGGGAAGCCUCCUAACUUGAACUGGUGGUGAAAACUAAUUCAAAGAAGGCUUCCAAGAGGUAAGUCUUCCUGGUGAAGAAAAUGAGAAGGGUGCCUCAUGGGAGUCAUCUUCACAUUGGGAGGGAUUAGUUAGAACCCUGGAAGACGCACAUAGAAAUAGUUAAUUAACAUGAUCAUUUUUUAGUCUCUAUCCUUCUCAACUUGACUUCAUAAGAGCACUGGUGUUUUGAGAGGUGUUCAUAGGUAUUGCGUUCUAAAAAGAAAGCAAAAUAAAACCACACUCGAACACAGGGGUUAAACACAAGAUUGAACAAAAUAAAAACCUUUUUAUUACAGACUUUCUCAGAGCAUUUGAUUUACUAAUGGGAAAUAUUAGAUGAAUAUAAUUAAUAUAUGCAUCAUAUGAAUAUAAUUACAUGUAUUAGAUGAAUAUAAAUACAGCGUAUAGCAGUUUCCAGACUUAUGUGACCACAGAACACUUUUUUUUUUUUUUUUUUUUGGUAGAAUCCCUGUGAAUACCUCAACUGUGUGUUCUGGGAAGUUUAGAAAACAUUAUAUCCUAUUCAUUUCUUAACUUUCUCUGUUGGCAUCUGUCAAGGAUAUUGAAAAGAUAUGUUCAUGUUCAACUUUUCCUGGUUCUCAUUUGGACUCUUUCUCAGAUGACCAAAAUCUCAUGCUAAAUUGAUUUCAGACUCCGAUAGGAGAAAAUCUAUCAUUUCCCCCAGUAUUGCAGCAAUCACACCACAGCCUGGAGCUGAUUAGUCUGCUCAGUGCCACAGCCUCAGCCAGGCCAGGCCAGGGGCUGGGAGCUUUCCAAGCUGACCAUCACUCCCAGAUCAAAUUCAUCUCCUCCGAGCUCAGCCUGCUCCCAUGCUCAAAAUCUCAAGAAUCUACCCAUGUAGCGUUCCUUCCCUUUCUCUUUGGAACCAUGGAGCUCCACUGGAAAGGAACCUGGGUACCUGACACCUUGGAAGGGUCCUGACAUUUGUUCCUUUCCAACUGAAAGUCUUCCUUGAGGGGUGGAGCAAACUGAAGGCCCCCGCUAGCCCCACGUAUUGCCCAAAGACUCUCUGAGGCUCUGUGCUGCUUACUUCCUACCAGGCAGAGAUUACUAGCCUCCUCAGCAGAUGAAAAAACGAAAGCUCAGAGCGGUAAGAUCAUUUGUCCAAGGUCUCAGAGUGGCGGAACUGGCAGUGGACACGACUAAGAUGACCCCAAGAGCCUGCACUGUCAGUCGUCACCCCGUAUUGUCUCUUGGUGCCAAACCUGCAUGACAUCCCAGUGCUAGUUUUGAGAGAGAACCCUCUUCCCUCUUCCCAUUUGCAUGCCUCACACUGUAGUUUAGAAUGCCUUCUUUCUUUUGCUUUGAUUCCCCCCCCAACCCUUUCUGGAAAGGAUAAUCUCCAAGAAAUUCCCUUAGGAUAUCUCACGUCAUUCCUAGUCUAAAUUCUUCGAAGUGAAGAAGCGUUUUGAGAUUCGGUGAUUAUUUUCAGCAUCACAUUAGGAUGUGCCCUCCAAAUUUAGUGUGUGAGACUAAUGUCCCCAAGUGUGCAUUCUGAACAUUGUUAUAGCAUGCCCCUGUGUACACCCUGUGAACAUUCCCGACAGUAUCCUCUUGCAAUCCCCACAUACUAGCUUUCAGAUAUUCCAAAAUGUAACCAAAAUGAAUUGCUUAAUUGGAUGGAUAUUAGUAUUUUUCACUUGAUAAAAACCAUGUCUGCAAAGCACCUUAGUGUGUUGUUGUAACUUAGUUUAUUAUUAUUGCUGAUAAGGAUAAUAAACAUUUCUGAUGGUAAAAAUGAACACAUUCUUCAUGUACUUCUAGGUCAGAAACCUCUGCUAUUAAUCAGAUCCUUCUGAGUAGUUUCAUAUCUAGUUUUGAUCCCUAUGCCAUAUCCUUAGAGAAAAAACAUGUACUUUUAAUUUGGUCAUGAAAGUUACUGUUUGAAUAGAUUUUUUAAGACUUUAGGCAUUCUGGUUAUUUAAAUUGACUCAGACAGUAUAAACUAGACUCCCUGACAUUCCUGGGCCUUCAAGACUCAAUGGCUUCUGGUAAGCAGCCACUCAGGCCUCCAGUUGGCCUUAACUAAGUCAGCCCCAACACACCAGUUCCUUAGAAUUACAUGCAAGGUCAUAGGAUUUCAAUUAAAAAAAUACUUUAACACGAGGCCAGAAUACCUAUGGCUGUAACCUGCUCUUGAAUAAACUUUCUCCCUGUCAUUUUUUUGUGUGUGUGAAAUACUUUACUCUUUUUAUAGAUCUUGGUCUUUUGCAAUCAUACAGGAUUCUAUUUGUUGAGUACCUUCUUUGCAUUGGAAAUUUGAAUUUCUUUUUACCCUUACAGUAUACCUAUAAGGCAAAUAUCAUCAACUUCAUUUUACAGAUGAACAAUAAGUUACUAGUGAACUGGUGAUGAAAAUUAAAGAAGGCUUUUGAACAUGAAUAUACCUUUUCAAUAUCCUUGACAGAUGCCAACAGAAAAAGUUAAGAAAUGAAUAGGAUACAAUGUUUUCUAAACUGUUCCCAUAACACAUAGUUGGGUAUUUGCAGGGACUUAUUAUUCAGUUAGAACAAUAAGUGACUUAUUGAUUAACUGCUUCUAAAUGAUAUAAAUAGGGUUUAAACUAGUAUUUAUCAUGUAUACACAAUAAAGAUUUAUUGUUAACAUAAAUUGAGCAUUUAUCAUAUUCUAAUCACUGUUCCAUUAGAUUGAACCACAUAAAAUUGCUGCUCUUUCACCUAUCAAAUGGCAAUUUCAUGUGGUUUAACCUAAUAGUUGUCUCAUUUGAUUUCAACAAUAGCCUUAGAUGCAACUGUUUUUAAUGUCAUUUGUAGAAGAGGAAAUGGAAGCUCAGCAAGAUUAAAUAAUGUGCACAGAAUUAAGCAGUCAAUAAGGGGGACUUCUCCCCCAACCUCAAACCAAGCAAUUCUUCUUCACCAUGAAGUGGUGACUCUGAUGAAGUGAUGUGACACUUUUAUUGUCUCCAGUGAUGGUAAUUUUGAGUUUAUUAGUUCAGUCACUUCAUUCAGUAUACUGAGCACAUACUGUAGAUGUGAAUCAUAUGUAUUCAGCCUUUGAAAGAACAGAAAGGUGGAAAAUCAAGCUAGUUAGCCAGAGUUGGGUUUUACAAAAACAGUGAAACAAAACCAUCUGAAACUGAUUUUUUUUUCAUUAUCUAUGCAGGUAGGUCUUGAAGAUUGUUUCUUAAGUUCUCAGAGGUUGGUUAUUACUGGAAAAAAUUAAGUGUUGAUUUCUAAAGUAACUGGACCCUUUGGAUAGUGUAGGUUCUUGUGUGUUUGUUCAGUCGUUACUUUCAUUGUACCCUCUGCCUGGGAUGCUUUGUUCCUAAUCACAAGAUCUUUUAAGUCUUACCUCUGCGGUCACUCUUUCUGUAGGGAUCCUUCAUUAUUUUCCCUCUGUAAAUGAACUGUCCCUCAUUUUGGCUCUCAUUGCAGUUGUUUUCACUUUUCGUAUGUCACCAGUCUCCUUUCCUAAAUUAUGUUUUAUUAUCCAUUCAUCUAUUCACCCAUCCAUCCAUCCAUUCACCCAUCCAUCCAUCCAUCAUACUACACAUCUAUAAAUUUCUAGUCAGUGUUAGGGGCCCUGAAGUUGUAGGGGUGAAAUGAUACAGUUUCCACCCUCAGAGGCUUAAUGGGGAGACAGAGAAACAAACAGAACAUUUCAGUCAACUAUAGGUCUCCUUAUUCCAGCUCUAACUCAUCUGAAAAUGCACUCCUAUCAGUGACAGUUGCUCAUGAUGGCUGUGAUUCUGGUGGAUGAUAAAGAUUGGUGGGGAGAUAAAAGAGAGAAAGGAAGAAAUAUGCUCCCUGUGCUCCAGAAUGGGGUUGGGAAACACAUGAUGCAUGUCUCUCCAGCCCACUCCAGCCUCCUGAGCUGAGGAUCAGCAAGACAGAUUAUGCAGUGCGUCUUUGCAACAGAGAGGAGGUCUGCUCAUCCCACAUUUGGAGCACCCGUGGGUGGAGCAGGGAAGAUUUCUGGGAAACAGUGUUUGAAUUGAAUCAUGAAAAUGAGUAGGAGUCUGCUACAUGGGUAAGGGAGGGAAGAAAAGUCAGUAGAGAAGGUAGGCAGUGCUUGCAAAGGCCUGAGCACUGCAAGAAUGGACUAAUACGCUAUGUGAAGACAAAGGGGAUGUCUGCAAGCCAGGACGAGUGCGUCUACCAGAAACUGAGUUCUGCUGGACUUUGAUCUAGGACAUCCAGCCUCCAGAAUGGAAUGUGCCAUAUGUGGAGACCUGCAUGGAAAGGAACUGAGGAUGCUCUCUCACUAAAAGCUAGAAGGAACUGAGGCCCUCAGUCAACAGUCUACAAGACACUGAAUCUUGCCAGCAGCCAAGCAGUGAGCUUGAAAGCAGAUCUAUCAUCAGCUGAACCUUCAGAUGAGACCGCAGCCUAAGCAGAUACCUUGGUUGCAGCCAUGUGAGACAACCUGAAACAGAGGGCACAGCUAAGCCUCAGCCAGGUUCAUGACCCUCUGAGGAAACUGUGAGAAAGCAAAUGUCAUUUUAAGCUAUUUAAUUUUGGAGGUAGUUUAUUACACAACAAUAAAUAACUAUUAUAAUUAUCUUGAGGAUUUAUUUCCUGGGGAGAAUACAUGGAAUUGCAUAUAUAGGUCCUCAUAUGCAGAAUACUGGUACCCUAGAGAUGUUCACCCCAGAGAUGUUUUAGGAACCUGUGAAUAUGUUACAUUAAAUGGCAAAGUUUUCCUGGAUGGUUUAAGUUUAAGAUGGAAAAGUUUUACUGGAUUAUCCAGUGGGUCCAAUCUAGUAACAUGAGUCCUUAAAAAUGGAGAAUAUUUUUUGGCCAUGAUCAGAGAGACAUGUGAUGAUGGAAAAAGUGUCAGAGAUGCAAUGUGAGGGGACUAAAACUGCUGUUGCUGACUUUAAAGAUGGAGAGAGGGGAACCCGAGUCAAGGAAUGCAAAUGGCCUCUGGAAGCUGGAAAAAGCAAGAAAUGGAUUCUCCUUUAGAGCCUGUGGAAUAAAAUGCAGUCAUGCUGACACCUUGAUUUUACCUCAGUGAGACCAAUACUGGAGUAUGACCUUCGGAGCUGAAUAAAAUUAUACGUACACAUCUUAAUUUCUUGGGAUUUGAUUACUUCUUCUGCUUUGAAAUUAGACCAAGUUUAGCCUGCCUUUGCUAUUUUGGCGUAUCUCCAAUUCUUCAUGAUUUUCUCAUCGCAAAGGCCACAUAAGGACAGUGAGAAGGCAGCCACCUGCAAGCCAGGAAGAAAGGUCUCACCAGAUACCAACCCUGCCAGCAUGUUGAUCUUGGACUUCCAGCCUCCAAAACUGGCCUUCUGCUCACAUGGGCUUCCGUGCACCUGCUUCAGGAGACAGCAACACUUGCGCCCGCACCGCGGCAGGCUCCCAUCACCUGGUGGAUAUGCCGCGCCGAGUCUCAUCACACCUUAGUGAAGGAACACAUGGACCCAUAUGUUAGCGGAUGUAUUUACAUCGUUUUAUACAGAAAGGGGAAGAAAACUGCAUACCUCAGAAAGGGGUUGCUCCUCACUCUGAGUACUAGACUAAAGAUAAAAAGACUAGAUAAAAGUACUAGACUAAAGACAGAGCUGACCCAUGACAGAUGGAGUCUUGCUCUGUCACACAUGCUAGAGUCCAGUGGUAUGACCUCAGCUCACUGCAAUCUCUGCCUCCCGGGUUCAAAUGAUUCUUCUGCCUUGACCUCCCUGGCAGCUGGGACUACAGGCCUGCACCACCACGCCUGGCAAAUUUUUUAAUUUUUUUUAGUAGAGAUGGGGUUUCACCAUGUUGGCCAGGCUAGUCUCGAACUCCUGACCUCAAAUGAUCUGCCCGCUUUGGCCUUCCAAAGUUCUGGGAUUAUAGGAGUGAGCCACCAUGCCCAGCCUGUUCUUAAGUCUCCUAGAACAGGGAUUCUGAAACACAAAACUCAUCUGUUUACGCACUGAGAGCAUCUAAAGAAUUUGAAUGAGGAGCAAAGCUUUUUCAAAGGUUGGAUUAAACUACAAUUGUCCUCUCCAAAGAAUGUUCAGCUAUCCUUUAUGUACUCUGUUGCAAGUAUUUCAAGAAGGAGGUGAGAAUAUAUGAGGUUCACGUAGCAGCAAAGGAACUACAUGGUAGAAGAGGGCACCUUUUUUCCAACAUCUCUUUAUGCUAAUGUUGUACAUCUGCAAGAUGCAAGAAGAGGACAAGAGCCUAUUUUUGUAGCAUUCUUGAGUCAAGAGCUUCCAUGAAAAGCUUUAAGUAGCAACAAGCCUGCCAUUGAAAAAGAAAUAUUUGGUUUGGAAUUUGAGAUUGUUAAAAAUCAUUAUAGAAUGCAUGUUCUACUGUGAAAUAAACUGAUAAAUGAAUAGUAUGUUGGGGCAGCCCCUGAAAGGUCAUUUACACUACCUAGAUGCUUUAUAGUUAAGGAAAGUAGGUCCAGAGAGGGGAAAUGAUCUGACCAUGGUUUCAAAGUUAUUUAGUAAGAAAUAGAAUGAGGAGUAGUUCUCCUGACAUUUAGAUAAUAGGACCACCAUAGAAAGGUGGUUUUAUGAUUCCAUUAAGAUUUGGAUCAUUUUUUUCAAGGCUUUGAAAGUGAGUGGUAAAAUUUCUAUUUUCAUUAUCUCUGGAGCAGUAUACUAGAGUAUACCAGAUAUAUAAAAAAGCCUUUCAUCUAAAAGGUAAAUGAACAAAUUCCCCCCAAACCAAUGAAUAAUAUAUAAAAUGAAACUUCAGAAUACACCAUCAAAGUGGCAAGAAAAUAAGAAAUCUUAAGAGGAAUAAAAAACUUAAAAAGUUAAAGCAAGAAUCUAGGAAAUUAAGCUAGUAUAAUUUUAAGGCAAAAAUGAAAGAAAAUUAUAAAGGAUGGUAUACUAUUUAUUUAUGCUGAUCACUGAAUAGUCUCAACUCUCUGACUUCUUGGCCCAUAGUAAGAUUGUACUGCCUGGAUUCCCAUGUGACCAAUUCUGGCCAGUGUCUUGUGAGAGAAACUAAUGUGUCUCUCUGGCUUUGGGCUAAGCAUUUAAUUGUCAGUGAGAUCCUCCAGUGCUUGUUUUCUCUCUAGUAGGAUGAUUGACAAUAUUCCACAUAGCAUUUUCUUCCACAUUUUCUGGUAUAUCAUACCACGUGUGAUAUGAUUUGGCUGUGUCCCAACCCAAAUAUCAUCUUAAAUUCCCACCUGUUGUGGGAGGGAUCUGUUGGGGGGUAAUUGAAUCAUGGGGGCAUGACUUUCCUGUGCUGUUCUUAUGAUAGUGAAUAAGUGUCAUAAGAUCUGAUGGUUUUAUAAGGGGGAGUUUCUUUGUACAAGCUCUCUUCCCUUGUCUGCCACCAUGUGAGAUGUGCCUUUUACCUUCUGCCAUGAUUGUAAGGCCUCCCCAGCCAUGUGGGACAGUAAGUCAUUAAAUCUCUUUCUUUUGUAAAUUGCCCAGUCUUGGGUAUGUUUUUAUCAGCAGUGUGAAAGUGGACUAAUACAACAUGGGAAUUAUGGGAGCUACAAGAUGAGAUUUGGGUGGGUACACAGAGCCAAACCAUAUAAAUAAUCUUCUCAGUAGAUGUGAAAUAAAUACUAUUAUUAUUUCCACUUCAUGAAAAAACUGAAGAAGCGCAAAAGCUUUAAGUAAUUUGCUUCAAGGUCACAAAGUUACUAAAUUACAGAACUAGCAUUAUUGUCAGUAAGAAGGAAAAUUACCCCUAUUGUAAAGUCUAAUAUGCAAUGGCAUGACAUAUGAAGAUACUAAUAUAUAUGAGGAUAUACCUAAAUUUCAGAAUGACGACACAAAACUACCAAAUAAUAAUGAUUAGAGAAGUUAUGAAAAUGAAAUAGAACUAAAACCCUCAGCAAAAAUAGUAUAUAGUUUGGAAAAGGAUGGAGAUUAGAUGUUCAAGUGUUGUAAGCUUCUCCCAGUGUUCAAAAGUAGAGCAAAUAUAUAAAUUUUUAUUUUAUUUUGUUUUAUUUCAUUUUAAGACAGCAUCACAGUGGUGCAAUCAUGGAUUAGUGCAGCCUCAACUUCCCAGGCUCAAGCAAUCCUCCUGCCUCAGCCUCCUUCGAUAAUUUUAAACUUUGUAAAAUAUUUGGCAAAAUAUUUAUAAGUGGCCACUACAAAGUCAGCUAAAAAGUGUAUACUCUCCAACUGGAGAAGAUUAGAGAAUUAAUAAUAGAGAAAAGACUGAAUCAAUUUAAAGGGAGACAAGAACGUGGGAAAAAAUGGAAAAAGCAAGACAAAUAAAAAUUAGGUGGUAGAAAGUAGAAUUAGUAAUUUCCAUUGAUGUAAGUGGACUUACUCUUUAUUUACAACACAGAAAUUUUGAAUGAGUAACUUGAUAUCAAAAUUAAAAAUAGUGGAAGUAAUAAGAAAUACAUAUUAUUUCUAUUCAUGUUAAAAUUUUUAACAUGGUAUUAGCAAAAAUAAAUGAACAAUCUAAAAAUGUAUAAUACAUUAUGAAUGUUUAGAUUCUCCAGGACUGCAAGGUAGGUUUAAUAUUAAAAAACCAAUUAGUAUAAAUUAAUUUUAUUAGCAUAUGAUUACAAAAGAAAAAUGCAUGACCUUCUCAACGGGUAUAAAAGAAGCAUUCACUGACAUUCAAUAUCCAUGCUUGAUAAAAUUUACGGUAAACUAGAAUCAGAAGUGAUAUUUAAUAAGUACAUGUUGAAAUACAUAGAAGAUGCCAUGUCCUGAAUGUUUGUGUCUUCCCAAAAUUCUAUGUUGAAAACAUAGUCACCUGUAUGAUUGUGUAAGAAGGUGGGUUCUUUUGAGAGGUGAUUAGGUCAUGAGGGUAGAAUCCUCAUGGAAAAGACUAGUGCCAUUAUAAAAGAGGCCCCAGAGACCUGCCUUUCCCCUUUCACCAUCUGAAGACACAGUUAGAAGGCAUCUUCUAUGACCCAGAAAAUUGGUCUUCAUGAGACAUUGACUCUGCUGGCACCUUGAUCUUGGACUCUCCAGCCUCCAGAACUGGGAGAAAUAAAUUUCUGUUGUUUACAUGCUACCCAGUAUAUAGUUUUUUGUUAUAGUAGCCUGAAUGGACUAAGACAAAAGACAAAAAUGCUCACCAUAACUACUUAUUUUCAAUAAUUUUCUGGAAGUCCAAAGCAAGAAGAAGAUAUAAAAGUUAGAAAUACUUUUAUAGAAGAUAGAAAAGUUAGAAAAGGACAGCAUAAUGUUGCUGUUAUUAUUCACAUAUACAUUGUUUCCAUAUAAAAUGUAAAGCAUGUACUGAUAAACUACUAGACUUGAACAGGAAACUUUGCAAUGUUGAUCAAAACAAUAGCUCUAUAUAAAAUUCAAUUUGCAUUCCCAUGCCUAAUCAAUGAGAAUUAGAAAAUUUAAUGCAAAAAUGAUAUUAUUUACAAUAACAGCAAAAAUACAAUGUAUUCACCUCUCCAUUCACAUGUAUACUUAUAAGAAGAAAUAAAAGAAAGAUUUUUAUGACAUAAAGAAAAAUUAUAAAACUUAAUAACAUUAAAAGAGAUUUAAACCAAUGGGAAGGUAAGGUAUACCACGUUCAUAAACAGAAAGAGUCCAGUAGUUUAAAGCUACCAAGUUCUCUCUUAAAACUUAAGUCAAAAACUUACCAAGACUUUUGUACAACUUGACAAAUUAAUUCUAAAAUUCUAAAUUGAUUCUAAAAUUUUUGUGAAGGAGGAAGAGCUAACAACAGCCAAAACACCCCUGAAGGAAUGGGAGGAGAAAGCAGAAAACAUGUCCUAUUGGAUGUCAAGAUCUUUGCAUAAAGCACUUUAGUUAGAAAUGCAAUUUUGACUUAAAGAUAGAAAAAUAAAUCAAUUAAAUCAGAAGAGAAUUAGCAAAAACAGACCCACAAAUAUAUGGAAAUGAUAUAUAAUAAAACUUACAGUACAAAUAAUUGUGUAAAGGAAAGACAACUUAAUGAUACUAGAAAAAUAGUUAUUUAUAUAAAAAAUUAAAUUAGAUUUCUCUCUGUGUAUAAAAAUCUAUUCCAGUUAAAGUCUUAAAUUUGAAAGUGAGUCAUUUUAGAUUUUAUUUUAAUUUUAGAAGACAAUAUAGGAGAAUAUCUAUAUGACCUUUGGGUGGAAGAAAAUUUUAUAACCAAGACACAGAAGUGCUUUCAUAACAUAAAUUUGUAUCUAUUUAACAUUUCAUAAAAUAUACUAUUUUGCAUUUGCUAGAAUGACAAUAAUUUAAAAGCCUGCUGAUAUCAAGUUUUGCUAAGAAUGUAGAAUAAAACAACUCACAUGUCUGUUGGUGACUAUUUACGUUUUAUAAUCAAUAGAAUUUUCUUUUAAAUUGUCCAUGUGCCUGCCUUACAAUUAAAUAAUUCCUUUCCUGGAUUCAAACUUAAAAAAUAAAUUUAUACAUGUGCAUGAAGAGUCAAGUACAAACGUGUUCAUAAUUUGUAAUAUUUAAGAGAGAAUCAAAAACAAAAAAAGACAAUAAAUAUCACCAAAGAGGGAAUAACUCAAAUAUCCAUUGGCAAGAGUGAAUUAAUACACAGCAGUACAAAUGAACAAAUGAAUCAGAUAGAGUUAUAUAAGUCAGCAUGAUUGAAUAGCACAACUCGUACAAUAUCAUCCCACCUAUACACAAUACUAAAAAUAUAUUAUUUAGAAAUAUGUAGAUUAUUUAAAAAAACUAUCAAGGAAAGAAAGGGAAUAAUAAAUACCAGACUCAGGGUAGUGAUCACAGUUAGGAAAUAGGGUAGGGAAUGGGAUCAGAAAAGCAAGGGCAUUCUUAAGGUAUUGGUAAUGUAAUUUUUUUUAAAGCUAAAUGGUGGUUGUGUGGAUGUUUAUUUUAUUUACUUUUUACACUUACUCAUUUGUUAUAAAUCAUUUGUUAUAAAUAUUCAGAUUGGAGCACCUGUAUUUUAGU